rnacentral:rRNA from 1 species
GACGAACGCUGGCGGCGUGCUUAACACAUGCAAGUCGAACGGAAAGGCCCUUCGGGGUACUCGAGUGGCGAACGGGUGAGUAACACGUGGGUGAUCUGCCCUGCACUUUGGGAUAAGCCUGGGAAACUGGGUCUAAUACCGAAUAGGACCACGCGCUUCAUGGUGUGUGGUGGAAAGCUUUUGCGGUGUGGGAUGGGCCCGCGGCCUAUCAGCUUGUUGGUGGGGUAAUGGCCUACCAAGGCGACGACGGGUAGCCGGCCUGAGAGGGUGACCGGCCACACUGGGACUGAGAUACGGCCCAGACUCCUACGGGAGGCAGCAGUGGGGAAUAUUGCACAAUGGGCGCAAGCCUGAUGCAGCGACGCCGCGUGAGGGAUGAUGGCCUUCGGGUUGUAAACCUCUUUCAAUAGGGACGAAGCGCAAGUGACGGUACCUAUAGAAGAAGCACCGGCCAACUACGUGCCAGCAGCCGCGGUAAUACGUAGGGUGCGAGCGUUGUCCGGAAUUACUGGGCGUAAAGAGCUCGUAGGUGGUUUGUCGCGUUGUUCGUGAAAACUCACAGCUUAACUGUGGGCGUGCGGGCGAUACGGGCAGACUAGAGUACUGCAGGGGAGACUGGAAUUCCUGGUGUAGCGGUGGAAUGCGCAGAUAUCAGGAGGAACACCGGUGGCGAAGGCGGGUCUCUGGGCAGUAACUGACGCUGAGGAGCGAAAGCGUGGGGAGCGAACAGGAUUAGAUACCCUGGUAGUCCACGCCGUAAACGGUGGGUACUAGGUGUGGGUUCCUUCCUUGGGAUCCGUGCCGUAGCUAACGCAUUAAGUACCCCGCCUGGGGAGUACGGCCGCAAGGCUAAAACUCAAAGGAAUUGACGGGGGCCCGCACAAGCGGCGGAGCAUGUGGAUUAAUUCGAUGCAACGCGAAGAACCUUACCUGGGUUUGACAUGCACAGGACGCCGGCAGAGAUGUCGGUUCCCUUGUGGCCUGUGUGCAGGUGGUGCAUGGCUGUCGUCAGCUCGUGUCGUGAGAUGUUGGGUUAAGUCCCGCAACGAGCGCAACCCUUGUCCUAUGUUGCCAGCGGGUUAUGCCGGGGACUCGUAGGAGACUGCCGGGGUCAACUCGGAGGAAGGUGGGGAUGACGUCAAGUCAUCAUGCCCCUUAUGACUUGGGCUACACACGUGCUACAAUGGAUAGGAACAAAGAGAAGCAAGCUCGCGAGAGUAAGCAAACCUCACAAAACUAUUCUCAGUUCGGAUUGUAGUCUGCAACUCGACUACAUGAAGCUGGAAUCGCUAGUAAUCGCGAAUCAGAAUGUCGCGGUGAAUACGUUCCCGGGUCU